AUUAGUGAUGGUACAUGUGAAAAAUGCAGGGAUUUUUUACUUAGGGAAUGUGUGUGACUUGGUUUCCUUUCUUUGUGACUAAGUGGGCCUUGAAGGAUUAAUGUGAUUUCUGGGAAAGUGAAAUAAGAUAUGUAGAAGUAGGCUGGAAGAAACUGAGCAUGUGAUCUAAUCAGCAUGAAGGAUUUUUACUUUCUAGGGACGCUGCUUGGAGUGUAUUGACCUUCUGAACAGGUGGAUUAACAGCGUUUUGGAGAAUGUGAGGUAAAGGGGGGCUUCACUGUUUCACUAUGACGUGCUGCAGGCAUCUUAGAGUUCAGGACGUAUUUGGAGUCAACACAGAAGUUAUAUGGGAUCAGUAUUUUUCCUGUUUUUAUCAGCUUCUCCUAUUUCCUGACGUAUUUUUAGGUAUUUUUAAUGAAAGAGACAGAAAAUUGGUAAAAGUACUUCGUUAGGUAUUCCCGACCCAUUCUCAGCCUGUGAGGAACUAGGGGGAUACAUUUGCGUAAUGAAUAGCACUGUCUUCAGGGCCUUCCAUAUUUGCAAGUAGCUCGAAAAUGGUAUUGCCUGAUGUUUUUUACAUAUUGGGAAGAUAGAGAUCUCUUCGUGGUGAGUGCUGUCCGUCCCACCAUCCAGCCCCCAGGCUGUUACCUGUGUGGAUAAGAGUGUGUCUUCCUGGAUUUAAGGGUCAGUCAUUCAUGUGCCUUUCUAUGAGAAUGUUUCUCCAACACAAAUAGGAUCACACGAUCAGUGCAAUGUACUGUUCUGCGGUACAUCUGCAACUUCGUUAGGAUGCCAAAUGCAGUCACUCUUGAGGAUUUCUUCAGUAUUAAUGUCUCUAUGUUAUAAAGUUGGCGGUGAUGAAGCAGAGAAUAUCAAUUCCUGUUAUAGUAUGACUAAUAAAAUGAACCUAAGAGCAAUGUUUUACUGGAAAUGUGACUUAAAGUUCCACUUACUAGGAUUUCUGUAAGCUUUUCUCUAUUUCUGCCAGUUAGCUAGCAAGUCCUGAACUGCU
ensembl:lncRNA